rnacentral:rRNA from 1 species
CCGGGCGCACGGGUGAGUAACACGUAUGGAACCUGCCCUAUGCAGGGGGAUAAGCGGAAGAAAUUCCGUCUAAUACCGCAUAACACCAUUUGGAGACAUCUCCAGGGGGUCAAAGGAGGCGACUCCGGCAUAGGAUGGCCAUGCGUCGCAUUAGCUAGUCGGCGGGGUAACGGCCCACCGAGGCGACGAUGCGUAGGGGUUCUGAGAGGAAGGUCCCCCACACUGGUACUGAGACACGGACCAGACUCCUACGGGAGGCAGCAG